rnacentral:rRNA from 1 species
UACGUAGGGUCCGAGCGUUGUCCGGAAUUAUUGGGCGUAAAGCGUGCGCAGGCGGUGAUGUAAGACAGGUGUGGAAUCCCCGGGCUUAACCUGGGAACUGCAUUUGUGACUGCAUCGCUGGAGUGCGGCAGAGGGGGAUGGAAUUCCGCGUGUAGCAGUGAAAUGCGUAGAUAUGCGGAGGAACACCGAUGGCGAAGGCAAUCCCCUGGGCCUGCACUGACGCUCAUGCACGAAAGCGUGGGGAGCAAACAGG